ensembl:lncRNA
UCCCCCCCAGCGAACUGUUUAGUGGCCGAGAGCCUCUGAGCUUUUAACGCUAGCAUCCUAAAAUUGUGAGUGGUGGUAGCCUACAAAAACCUAAAAAUGGAUUGGAUGUAAAUGACUCUACCACCGAACCGAUUCUCUGAUCAGCUGCGAUUCUUGGAAUCCUCGGGGACGCUGCCAGAAAAGUUGGGGAAAGCAAAGACUAUGGAUUUUCAUGAGGGUUUAAACUUUCUUUUUUCUUGGCGUGGAGGCGGAGAGAUCUUCUUUUCAAAGUCUUUUGAAAUAUGAAACGAGCCGGCACACUUCACUUCUUUUCUCGGGGAUUCCUUGCAUCUCUGUGGUUUCUCUGCGCCAGCCCUGCCUCCCUUUGCAUACUGGGCCUGCAGGUUUCUCUUGACAGAGUGGUAGCAGAACUUCCCGGGUGUUUGAGUGUGGAGAUAAGAUAAGACAAUAAAUGAGGAGCAGUCGCCCUUAAAGGUCACCGUGGGUCUGCGGAGUGUCGACUGACGACAGGUGAGAGACCCUCAACGAUCCGCCGGAGCCCCAGCAGAGCCCCCC